AUGGUGUCACAAACCCAGGUUCUCAUGUCCCUGUUGCUUUGUGUGUCUGGUGCCAGCGCAGAUAUCAUGAUGACCCAGUCUUCACCUUCCAUGGCUGUGUCAGCAGGGGAGAAAGUCACCAUCAGCUGCAAGUCCAGUCAGAGUCUUUUAUACAGUGGCAAUAACUACUUGGCUUGGUACCAGCAGAAACUAGGGCAGGCUCCUAAACUACUGAUCUAUGAUGCAUCUACUCAGCACACUGGGGUCCCUGAUCACUUCAUAGGCAGUGGAUCUGGGACAGUUUUCACUCUCACCAUCAGCAGUGUUGAGUCUGAAGAUCUGGCAGAUUACUACUGUCAGCAGUACCACAGCUCUUUGUCAUUCGGGUCUGGGGAUCAAAGUCAGGUAUGA